GGGUAUAGCUCAGUGGUAGAGCACGUGCUUAGCAUGCACAAGGUCCUGGGUUCAAUCCCCAGUACCUCCA
rnacentral:tRNA from 1 species